rnacentral:rRNA from 2 species
GUCAUAUGCUUGUCUCAAAGAUUAAGCCAUGCAUGUCUCAGUACAAGCCAAAUUAAGGUGAAACCGCGAAAGGCUCAUUAAAUCAGUUAUGGUUCCUUAGAUCGUACCCACAAUUACUUGGAUAACUGUGGUAAUUCUAGAGCUAAUACAUGCAAACAGAGCUCCGACCGGAGACGGAAGGAGUGCUUUUAUUAGAUCAAAACCAAUCGGUGGCGGGUUCGCUCGUUAUCGUACAACUUGGUGACUCUGAAUAACUUUACGCUGAUCGCACGGUCAUCGCACCGGCGACGCAUCUUUCAAAUGUCUGCCUUAUCAACUGUCGAUGGUAGGUUCUGCGCCUACCAUGGUUGUAACGGGUAACGGGGAAUCAGGGUUCGAUUCCGGAGAGGGAGCCUGAGAAACGGCUACCACAUCCAAGGAAGGCAGCAGGCGCGCAAAUUACCCACUCCCGGCACGGGGAGGUAGUGACGAAAAAUAACGAUACGGGACUCAUCCGAGGCCCCGUAAUCGGAAUGAGUACACUCUAAACCCUUUAACGAGGAUCAAUUGGAGGGCAAGUCUGGUGCC